GCGCGCGGCAGCAUGGCAGCGGCGCCCGGCGUGGCGCCGGUUCGAGCCCGGUUCCUCACCUCCAAGGAGCAGUUCCACGCCUACCUGCGGGCAGGGGGCAAGGAGGAGGAGAAGGAAAAGGAGGGGAAGGAGGAAGAGGAGCAGGCCAGCGAACCCCCAGCCAAGAGGGUGAAGGCAGAGGAGCUCGGCCAGGAUGGGGAAGGCCACGGGAAUGCUGGAGAGGAGGAGAAGGAGCGCCAGGGGAAGAAGAGAGCCCGGGGGCAGAACAAGAGCCGGCCGUGCAUGAAGCCCAGCAGCUACGAGCAGAGCAGGCUGUGCCCCUCGGUGACACAGGGCCGUGCCGGGCAGUGCCGCCUGGGCCCGCGCUGCCGCUUCCUGCACGACGUGUCCGAGUACCUGGCGGCCAAGCCAGCAGACCUGGGCCAGCGCUGCGUCCUCUUCGACACCUUCGGCCUGUGUCCCUACGGUGUCACCUGCCGCUUCGGCCGGGCCCACCUGGGCGACGGCCACCAGAACCUGCUGAACGCCGCCGUGGCGCGGCAGUGGGAGGGCAAGGUGCUGGUGAGGAACGGCCUCUCCAAGGAGCUGCAGCAGCAGCUGCGCAAGAGGAGCUGCAGCUUCCACAAGGCCGAGGAGUUUCUCCGUGGGCUCCGUGCUGGGAAGGGAGGCAAAGCCACGGGGGGCUCCGCGGAGGUGUCCGACUGCACUGCUCCCCAGCAGGGCCUGAGAGACAGCCCUGAGCUGCAGGAGCAGGGAGAAGAGCCCAGACCUGAGGCCCUGCAGGGCUCCCAAAGGGCUGAGGGUGCUCGCACACCUGAGACCCUGCAAAGCUCCCAAGGGGCUGAGGGUGCUCCUAAACCUGAGACCCUGCAGAGCUCCCCAAGGGCUGAGGGUGCUCCCAAAUCUGAGACCCUGCAGAGCUCCCCAAGGGCUGAGGGUGCUCCCAAAUCUGAGACCCUGCAGGGCUCCCCAAGGGCUGAGGGUGCUCCCAGACCUGAGGCCCUGCAGAGCUCCCAAAGGGCUGAGGGUGCUCCCUCCAUCCCGACCCUGGGCCCCCUGACAGAUGAAGACAUCACGAAGCUGCGGCCGUGUGAGAAGAAGAAGCUGGACAUCCGAGGCAAGCUCUACCUGGCUCCACUGACCACGUGUGGAAACCUCCCUUUCCGACGGAUCUGCAAACGUUUUGGAGCAGAUGUCACCUGUGGGGAGAUGGCUGUGUGCACCAACCUGCUCCAGGGCCAGUCCUCCGAGUGGGCUCUGCUCAAACGCCACCACACCGAGGACAUCUUCGGGGUGCAGCUGGAGGGAGCCUUUCCAGACACCAUGACCAAGUGUGCAGAGCUCCUCAACAGGACAAUCGACGUGGAUUUUGUUGACAUCAACGUCGGGUGUCCCAUCGACCUGGUCUACAAGAAGGGAGGAGGCUGUGCUCUGAUGACUCGCUCCAACAAGUUCGAGCAGAUCGUCCGCGGCAUGAACUCGGUGCUGGAUGUCCCACUGACGGUGAAGAUCCGCACCGGGGUGCAGGAGAAGGUGAACGUGGCUCACAAAAUCAUCCCCAGGAUCCGGGAGUGGGGCGCGGCCAUGGUCACGCUGCACGGCCGCUCGCGGGAGCAGCGCUACACGCGCAGCGCCGACUGGCCCUACAUCGCCGAGUGCGCGCGCCUCGCCAGCCCCAUGCCUCUCUUUGGAAAUGGGGAUAUUUUGUCCUAUGAAGAUGCAAAUCGAGCCAUGCAGAUGGGAGUUUCUGGAAUCAUGAUUGCAAGAGGGGCACUCAUCAAACCCUGGCUUUUCACAGAAAUCAAGGAGCAGAGACACUGGGAUAUCUCCUCCAGUGAAAGGUUUGACAUCCUCAAGGACUUCACCAACUACGGCCUCGAGCACUGGGGCUCAGACACUCAGGGAGUGGAGAAGACCAGGAAAUUCCUGCUGGAGUGGCUCUCCUUCCUGUGCAGGUACAUCCCAGUUGGGUUGUUGGAACAUCUACCUCAGAAAAUCAACGAGAGGCCGCCCUAUUACCUGGGGAGGGACUACCUGGAGACCCUCAUGGCCAGCCAAAACGUGGAUGAUUGGAUCAGAAUAAGUGAGCUGCUCCUGGGCCCCGUGCCGCCCAGCUUCACCUUCCUGCCAAAACACAAGGCCAACUCCUACAGGUAGGGCUGGCCAGGCCCUGUCCCUUGGCGUCAGGAGGAGUUUGGAAGGGCUGUGAGGAGGAGCAGGGCUCCUGGCACCUGGAAUAAAGCUGAUGUUUUUAGAAGCUGGCCACCGCAGCUCCCCGGCCACUCUGCUGCCCCCAGACCAAGGUGUCAGGGACAGGGCAGGGCUGGGGCACCGCGGGGAUCCCCUGGACCGUCCCCAGCUCGCCCCACCACAGACCCCUGGACGAGCUGCUGCCUCG